GUUUCUGUAGUUGAACUACAACGGUGGUUUUUCAAGUCACUAGUCCUGGUUAAAACCCUGGCAGGAACU
rnacentral:tRNA from 1 species